AUCGUAUCAGCCGCAUGGUUACCCGAGCCACGAAGCCUCCUCCGAACAAAAAGCGAGAGAAGGGAAAGGCCGGUAAUGGAGAGGAAGAAAGAAGAAGACGAGCUGACCUUCGAGGGGGGGGGUCACAUAGUCGGACAGGCCCAACUUUGCAUUUGCUGAAAGGAACAAAGGCCGAACGACGAGACGGUGCAAUAAAAACAACCGGAUCGAAGGCAACUGGAAGUGAUGAAGGACUCGCUCACACUUACGUCGACGCGCGUUUCGAAUCACAGUGAUGUACGAUCCGCGGCCAUCAGCCAGGCCGACAUUGAUCAGGAGCGGCUGCCAGCGCGCCGUCAAAUCAAUCACGGCGAUUGAUUCAGCAGCUCGAGGAGAAUGCAUGAAUGCAUGAAUGCAUGAAUGCACGGCGCAGGGUUUAACGUUGAGCACCGCAAGAAGAACACGUCGAUGUGACGUUAACAACCAUCACCCUUGAUCAUGACGGUAUCGGUAUCAUAUUAUUAAUAAGUCAGAGAAGGUUGAUCCGAAUCUCAGGGGACGGGUUUGGAGGAGAGACGAGCGGCUGCACGUCCCGACACACACUGGCGAGAGUGAUCCUCAGAUUCAUUCCAACAACUGCUUAUGUGCUUUGGCAGCAGUUUGUGAAUAAUGCUCAUCACCC
ensembl:lncRNA